rnacentral:misc_RNA from 1 species
GGAAGGAUCAUUCACACGUUUUAUUCCAACGUACCCACCCACCGCGCAUUCGUUUUCAACUCUCUCCCGCCGACCUACAUGUAUUGGCUACGUGUCUACAGAAACCAUUGGAUGGGAUUCGGCCUUGGCGCCGAGUCGUUUCUGGCACCGACAUGGCUCUCGCUCUCACACACUCACAAUGUGUGGGAGAGAGACCAAACAAUAGAAGUAGGCCGCGGCUCUCGCUGCGGUGCUGUAAAUCUCCACCCAAGAUUAUGAGCAUCGUGGCACCUAUUUAACCAACCAUUUUCACACACUUUUGCGAGUUUGACUUUUUACAUCUGUUGGACCUCUCUCUUCAUUGAGAGGGUGCAGCACGUUUGAUUCUACUUGAACGUUAAAAAACAUACAACUCUUAGCAAUGGAUAUCUAGGUUCUCGCAACGAUGAAGAACGCAGCGAAAUGCGAUACGUAAUGCGAAUUGCAGAAUUCAGUGAAUCAUCAAAUCUUUGAACGCAAAUGGCGCUCUUGGGUAGCCCUAGGAGCACACCUCUCUCAGUAUCGGUUCAACAACCGCUCAGCAGCGUGCUUGCAAUUGCAAGUAUGUGUGGCUGGAAAAUGAGAGUCUGCAUGCGAAGUCAUGCAGUCUCUUGAAAUACAUGGAGUGUUCAUUCUCUCCUCGGUCGACGGAUUCGGUCCCCAUUCGGGGGUCGAAGCCUUAGGCGGUGUCGGACUGUGCCUCACAAAAGUGACGUGAAUACUGACCUCCGGGUCUUCCGUUUACGUGAAACUUUUGCGGCGGCACGACUCAAAGUCCGGGAUAGCUCAACGAUCGAAUCUAUGGAGACGGAAUGGAGACGUGACAAAAAACCCGACGAUGAAGAGAUGCAAUCAUCUGCAUCUUCCCAUCUGAAACUUUGAUCUGAGAUGAAGUGAGACAACCCCCUGAAUUUAAGCAUAUUAAUAAGGGGAGGAAAAGAAACUAACAAGGAUUCCCUUAGUAACGGCGAGUGAAGCGGGAAGAGCUCAAUUUGAAAAUCGAUCACCCACACGGGUCAUCGAAUUGUAGCCUAUAGACGUACUAUCAGCUGGAACCUGGGUAUAAGUUCUUUGGAAUGAGGCAUCAUAGAGGGUGAGAAUCCCGUCGAUGACCCAAAGCUUUCAGCGUACGAUGUAUGUUCAUCGAGUCGAGUUGUUUGGGAUUGCAGCUCUAAAUGGGUGGUAAGUUUCAUCUAAAGCUAAAUAUUGGCGAGAGACCGAUAGCGAACAAGUACCGUGAGGGAAAGAUGAAAAGAACUUUGAAAAGAGAGUUAAAAGUACUUGAAAUUGCUAAGAGGGAAGCGCUGACAACCAGUGAUAUGCUGUCGCAAACGCUCUCCACCCUUUGUAGGUCGCGUCCGUCGUUGGUAACUCGACGUGCGUGCUCGAAGGGGAGGUGGGGGGUUUCCUGCGGCGGUGUCAGUCAAGAUCCAUUCGGCUUCUGUGUGGGAGAAGGUAGUGAGAAAGGUAGGAGGUUCGCCUCUGUUAAGUCUCGUUACUCUACCAUGCGCUGGAUGGAGGAAGGAAUGGUGCGCCGCUUGCGGCUUGGCCCCGCGUCCCUGCAUUUUUUCUGGGUCGUUUCGAGCAAUGCUCGCGCGAUCGAGAGCGAGUGUACUGGGCGUGGCGGCUCGAUGUGCCAUCACGAUCUUGUACGAAAUGGUUGUCAUCGACCCGUCUUGAAACACGGACCAAGGAGUCUAACAUCUAUGCGAGUAUUUGGGUGCCAAACCCUGAUGCGCAAUGAAAGUAAAGGCAGGCUCUGUCCUGCUGAGGUAGGAAUCCGGCAACGGAGGCACUAUCGACCGAUCAUCACUUGUGAAAGAUUUGAGUAAGAGCAUAUCUGUUGGGACCCGAAAGAUGGUGAUCUAUGCCUGAACAGGGUGAAGCCAGGGGAAACUCUGGUGGAGGCUCGUAGCGAUACUGACGUGCAAAUCGUUCGUCUGAUUUGGGUAUAGGGGCGAAAGACUAAUCGAACCAUCUAGUAGCUGGUUCCCUC